CCCCAUCUUGUUUUCUGUCUCCCCGGUCCCUUCACCAACUCCUUUCUCCUCUCUCCUCUACCAUUAUCUUCAGUUAUUCUGUCCCCCAGGUUCUGCCAUUUGCAUCUACACCCAUGCCAGCACCACCAGUCCAUCUGGAGAAGGGAGAAGGCAUAUAUACAGGAAAUGCUCAAGCAGGAAAUUCAAUGGCCAGUGAAUGAAAAAGAGAGACUCAUGCUCUAAAGGCAUCUUCUCCCCUAGCUGUUUAGAUUCUCCUAGAAGACCAGAUGCAAGCAUUUGAGAACAAAUGGUUUAUUUGGAAGAUAAUCCCCAGAAAACACCACUAGGGAAAUAAAAAAAGUGAGACAG